rnacentral:rRNA from 2 species
GGGUUGUGAGGUUAAGCGACUAAGCGUACACGGUGGAUGCCCUGGCAGUCAGAGGCGAUGAAGGGCGUACUAAUCUGCGAUAAGCGCCGGUAAGGUGAUAUGAACCGUUAUAACCGGCGAUACCCGAAUGGGGAAACCCAGUGUGAUUCGUCACACUAUCAUUAACUGAAUCCAUAGGUUAAUGAGGCGAACCGGGGGAACUGAAACAUCUAAGUACCCCGAGGAAAAGAAAUCAACCGAGAUUCCCCCAGUAGCGGCGAGCGAACGGGGAGGAGCCCAGAGCCUGAAUCAGCAUGUGUGUUAGUGGAAGCGUCUGGAAAGGCGCGCGAUACAGGGUGACAGCCCCGUACACAAAAGCGCAUGUGCUGUGAGCUCGAUGAGUAGGGCGGGACACGUGGUAUCCUGUCUGAAUAUGGGGGGACCAUCCUCCAAGGCUAAAUACUCCUGACUGACCGAUAGUGAACCAGUACCGUGAGGGAAAGGCGAAAAGAACCCCGGCGAGGGGAGUGAAAAAGAACCUGAAACCGUGUACGUACAAGCAGUGGGAGCCCCACCACCAAAGCAUUUGCUGUACCGCGUUGACGGAGCGAAGCGACGUCAAACCGAUAAAACA